UGAUCUACCCAUGUCCUGGAUGAAGGUAUGGUAAUUCUUACUGGAGGUCCGAACCCACGCACGUUGAAAUGUGCGGGGAUGUGGUGUGGGUAGCGGAGAAAUUCCAAUCGUACUUGGAGAUAGCUGGUUCUCUCCGAAAUAGCUUUAGGGCUUGCCUCGAGGUAAUGAGUCAUGGAGGUAGAGCACUGUUUGGACUAGGGGCCCUUCUCGGGUUACCGAAUUCAGAUAAUCUCCGAAUGCCUUGUACUUAUACUCGGGAGUCAGACUGCGUGUGAUAAGAUCCGUAGUCGUAAGGGAAACAGCCCAGACCACCAGUUAAGGUCCCCAAAUA
rnacentral:rRNA from 1 species